GCCCCCGUGGCUCAGUGGAUAGAGCACCAGACUACGGAUCUGGGGGUCGCGCGUUCGAAUCGCGCCGGGGGCA
rnacentral:tRNA from 1 species